UUCAGGUUCGUGCAUAAUGUGCU
rnacentral:miRNA from 1 species